UUUGUUGAACAUACAAUAACAAUAAGAUUUUUCUUGCACACCGAGAUAUUUCUGAACUAUAUAAGUGAGAAGUUUCUUGUUGGAGGUAUCAUCUGAUCGAAAGCAUUUAGUUCUUGCUGAGUUCCACUUUUCAGAACAACCUCCAAGAUGUCCGUCAUGAAAAGCGUUUUCUUGAUGCUCUCCAUCUCCGCCAUGAUGAGCAUGGCUUUCGCAAAUGUCUUUGACAAAAUUGAAGAUGGAUUGAACGACGCAAUCGACGCUACUGGAUUGUAAACCGCUUGUUUCUGAUGAGACGGAAGGAUGUAAUGUGAGGUUUGAAGCAGCAAUAAAAUUUGGCAUUUAAAAAGCU